UAGGUUUGAGAAAAUGGGCAG
rnacentral:miRNA from 1 species